GCCCCCGCAACGCCCGUCGCCGCCUCCUCUCCUGCCGCCGCCGCCGCCUCCUCUCCUGCCGCCGCCGCCGCCUCCUCUCCUGCCGCCGCCGCCGCCGCCUCCUCUUCGUCGGUGCUAUCGAAGCCUGGGCUACGUGAGCGCGCGAGCCGCUGGUGAUGCUCGAGGCGUGACCGUUGGGCCGGGGACAGGUGCGCGCGCUCGCCGCGACGGGAACGAGAGUUGUCCCCACUCCUUCUGUUCCCCAUCGCCGGCCUCCUCUCAGCCUUGGCCUCGUUGCUCACGGGAGAGAGAGAGAGAGAGAGAGAGAGGAGGAGAAGGAGGCGGCGGCGGCCGCGGCGGCCAGAAGGAAUGAGGGGGUCGGGGCGUUGGUUCUCCCCGACACCAUCUGGCCUUCUCCCCGUCUCAGUCGUGUGGUCUCGACGACGCCGCCCUCACGCUCCUUCUCCUCCGCGUCGACAGGACUCUCUCUAGCCUCUCGCUCCACCUCCUCGCACACUCCUGCAGAUUAUCUUGGCAAUCAAGCCAACAAAUCAAAAGGAGACAAAGGAAAAUGUGUGACCAAAGGAGUCAAGCAAAAGCACACCAAGCAAAUCACCACCAUUGAAGUUUCAGCAUCUGUUUUUCGUAGUUGGACUAAAUCCGAUUAGAAGGAGAUGGUGCCCAGCGAUGGGGUGCUUGGCCGCUGCCGCCGCCUAGGAUGACCUCUUCGUCGGUGCUAUCGGGAGCCUGUGCUACGUGCCUGACGAGAACUCCGCGAGCAGGCACGUAACCCAUCUUGCUGGCCUUUUCGUUUGUGUGCAGAGGAGCAAGUUUUGGUUGGAAUUGAAAUUCCUGAAAGCAAGGCAACUGAAUGGAUUAAAGCUUGAAAGCUCAUACCUGGAUGGUUUUUGUCACACCAAAAUGAAGUAUAAGAAAACCUUAUAAAAGAAGAAACAUACCUGUCUGGGCGUCCUUGCUAUCGUCGUUUCCAACCCGUCCGCAGGGUCUGCUGCUCUUGGGUGCCCUUUUGGGUAAUGGUCUAGCUGUUUCCUUGCAUCCAUGUUGCUGCAGGGUUGUAGUCGUACCCGUGGCCAUGGUUAUUACUCAUCAACUUGGUCGUGCUCAUGUGGACUAUUUAUUUCCAACAACGCCAUCAAACCAUCAGAGGUUCCUCGCCGGUUUCCUUUUGCUGCACCUUUGUUUGGUUGCUCUAGGGUGAGAGAACCUCUCUGCGUCUGUAUGCUGAUUUGGUCAUGGAAUUCGAGCCUCAUUUACUGCACCUCCGGCAAUGAAGGAUCAGUACACGCCCAAUCUUUCGUGGCCUCCUCUCACAAGAACUUCUACAUCGCUGGUUGGAUUGGAUAUUCACAGAACUUGAUAUCAUAUACUUUGGGCAUUGCUGAAACAACUGAAUGUCAAAGCUACAUGCUUUCUUUUGAUUGUUGUAGCCAUCCUUCAUCGCCAGAGCCAUGGGGUGCCUAUGGGCUGUCCAUUUGUGUGGAUGUAUUUAGCUGUGGCGUUUAUGGCAGCUGCAGCAGCUUGUCAAUUAGUUCUUAGUCAAGGACAGUUAUAUGUGUGGUGUGAAGAUGGUCGUUCUUCAAUUUGAAAGUAAACAAGCGGCCUCCAUUAAGGUCUACCGACAAUCAUGUAGGCAAUGCGUAGUCUUAACCAUAGUUGCCAAGUUCCCGGUUCGAGCGGGUCUAGGUACGGGAACGAGGGUCAAGGAUCGCUGGUUGCCAAAACUAGGGAUCGGUUUGGGUAUACAUCUCUGUAACGGCCGUUCGACGGCGGGAACGCGAUCCUGUUAAAUCGGGGAUGAUGAGCCCGGGUCGACCAGUCUGAUCCUUCCAAGUAUUGUAUAUGGAAAGCAAAAACAGAUUAAGGAAAGAGUGCAAUAUCGUUCAAGGCAAGAGCAAAUUAAGGAAGUCCAUCCGGUAUUAGAGGACCACUGUUAUUUUACCUCCUUUCUGGCCUUCUGUUCCUAAAUUAUCUCGCCUACAGUUACGUCCACGGUGUUUUUUUUAUUCCUUGUACCUGCAACGUCCGGUCUUCAUGGGAAUGCGUACCAGCCGUUGAAUCCUAUCGACCCGCACUCGAUCCCGACCCUCGAUUGGGGUCGAUGAACCCGGUACAUGGGACACGGCGUCGACCCGCGUUCCCGGCUACUAUGGUCUUAACGCGAGGAGGUGCCAAGAUACACGAGGGGUUGGAGCAGGACUACAGGAGGAGUUUGGAUUACUCUGGGCAAUUCUCUCCGGAGUUGAGAGUACUCUGAGCACUGCCCAUAGCGUGCCACGACGACCGUUUGCACUAUAGGUGCCUCGCGACGCAGUCCUCAUAUGAGAAGUGGGGAUUCCACCAGCAUUCUCACAAAUAGGUACUAUUCAUUUUGCUUCAGAGAGAUGUCGGUUGAUGCUGCAUUUAACUGGAUUUGGAAAGCCAGGUGCAAUAUGAAAUGGAAAGGUGUUCGCCUGGCUUCUCUUGGCUGACAGGCUGAAUAUGAAUAUGCUACGCAGGAGGCACUACAGAGUUGCUAAUGACUAUACAUGCCUGUUGUGUGAUAAUCCUCCCGAGGAAACCCUGGCAAUUCGCUAGGGUGACUUGGCCAAACUCUGAAUGUAGACUUGAGAUGUUGCACAUGGGAAAACAAACUUGGCACAAACCCCUGUUCAUGGAAACUUUCAUUGUUGCCGUAUGGGGAUCUGGAUGGAGAGAAAUGACAAGUCCUUCAGAGGAAUGCCCAUGCAAGUAUUAUCCAACAAUAACAAGUCUACUUAUUCAUGCAUGCACACCCUCAGAAGACCACAGUCGGCCUAAGAAAUCUUCUCUGCUCAAACUAUGCAUGCUUAUCUAUAUAAGGCAUCUCUGCCUAUGUUGCUUGCUUUUUGAAAGCAUUGUAAAUGGCUAUCAAAACUUCUUAUAAUGCUAUGUAUCAGCAUCAUACCGAAGUAUAUAUUUCUUUAUGACUAAAUAUUCUGACGAGCUUGCUUCAAA